rnacentral:rRNA from 1 species
AUGUUUACCCCAUCCCGAGGAUUACGACAAGGAGACCCUUUGUCCUCAUAUCUAUUCCUGUUCUGCGUGGAAGGUUUUUCUGUGUUACUGAAAAAGGCCCAAGAGGAUAAUCUUAUAAAGGGUGUGUCUUUUGGGAGCACUGGCCCCCAAGUGACUCAUCUUCUGUUCGCUGAUGACAGUAUUAUCUUUCUUCAAGGUUGUGUUGACAACUUUCUAGCUCUGAAGGAUAUAUUGGGUAUAUAUGAACAAGCGUCAGGACAGAAGGUAAACUUACAUAAAUCCUCCAUUUUCUUUGGGAAGGGGUGUCAGCAGGAUCAAAAAGAGGCCCUCAAGGCAUCGAUCGGGAUUGAAACAGAGGCGUUGAGUGAGAGGUAUUUGGGUCUCCCAACGGUGGUGGGGAGAGCUAAGGAUGGGUCUUUCCAAUAUGUGGUUGAAAGCUCAAAAAAGAAGGUUACGGGUUGGAAGGGGCAAGGCCUCUCAAAAAAAGCAAGGGAAGUUCUUGUGAAAUCUGGGCUGCAAGCUACUCCUGCAUUUACUAUGAGCUGUUUUCUCCUCACAAAGAAGAUGUGCCGGAACCUGACAUCUAUCUCGUCGAAAUUCUGGUGGGGGGCAGUGAAUGGUGAGCGCAAAGUGCAUUGGAUUGCGUGGGAUAAAAUGUGUGCUGCAAAGAAGGAAGGAGGCAUGGGUUUUAGGGAUGCCAAGGCGUUUAACCAGGCGUUAUUGGCCAAGCAGGCGUGGAGGAUCUUGCGGGUUCCCUCCUCGCUCUAUGCGCGUGUGUUGAAGGCCAGAUAUUUCAAAGAUGGCGACAUUAUGAAUGCAACAUGUCCUGAUGGUGGAUCAUACACAUUCAGAAGUAUUCUUCAUGGGAGAGAUCUUCUUCGAGCAGGGCUAGUGUGGCGAGUGGGAGAUGGCACCAAGAUUAACAUCCACCAUGAUUAG